UCACACUAUUAACUCUAAUAUAACGUAGAAUGGCACGCUACAUGAGUAAAUCGACUAUACCAACCCAAGAUCUAAAACAAACACCAAACAAAAAUAUUUACAGAGAAUCACGAAAAAAAAUGAUAAAAAACAAAAAAUUAGGAGAUAAAAAUAAACUAUUCACAGAAGAAUAUAGAUCAAAACCUCAUAAAGAUAACUUACAAA
rnacentral:lncRNA from 1 species